GUGGGGAAUAUUGGGCAAUGGGGGAAACCCUGACCCAGCAACGCCGCGUGAAGGAAGACGGUUUUCGGAUUGUAAACUUCUUUUAUCGGGGACGAAAAAAAUGACGGUACCCGAAGAAAAAGCCACGGCUAACUACGUGCCAGCAGCCGCGGUAAUACGUAGGUGGCAAGCGUUGUCCGGAAUUAUUGGGCGUAAAGCGCGCGCAGGCGGGAUAUCAAGUCUGUCUUAAAAGUGCGAGGCUCAACCUCGUGAGGGGACAGAAACUGGUAUUCUUGAGUGCAGGAGAGGAAAGGGGAAUUCCCAGUGUAGCGGUGAAAUGCGUAGAUAUUGGGAGGAACACCAGUGGCGAAGGCGCCUUUCUGGACUGUGUCUGACGCUGAGAUGCGAAAGCCAGGGUAGCGAACGGGAUUAGAUACCCUUGUAGUCC
rnacentral:rRNA from 1 species